GCCAGUGUGGCUCAGUGGAUAGAGUGUUGGCCUGUCAACCAAAGGGUCAUGGGUUCAAUUCCUGAUCAAGGGUA
rfam:Myotis davidii contig219918, whole genome shotgun sequence.